CCAGACUCCUACGGGAGGCAGCAGUGGGGGAUAUUGCACAAUGGGGGGAACCCUGAUGCAGCGACGCCGCGUGGGUGAAGAAGCGCCUCGGCGCGUAAAGCCCUGUCAGCAGGGAAGAAAAUGACGGUACCUGAAGAAGAAGCCCCGGCUAACUACGUGCCAGCAGCCGCGGUAAUACGUAGGUGGCAAGCGUUGUCCGGAAUUACUGGGUGUAAAGGGAGCGUAGGCGGGAAUGCAAGUUGAAUGUUUAAACUAUGGGCUCAACCCAUAGUCGCGUUCAAAACUGCAUUUCUUGAGUGGAGUAGAGGCAGGCGGAAUUCCUAGUGUAGCGGUGAAAUGCGUAGAUAUUAGGAGGAACACCAGUGGCGAAGGCGGCCUGCUGGGCUCUAACUGACGCUGAGGCUCGAAAGCGUGGGUAGCAAACAGGAUUAGAUACCCGCGUACUA
rnacentral:rRNA from 1 species